rnacentral:rRNA from 1 species
CGGACGGGUGAGUAAUGUCUGGGAAACUGCCUGAUGGAGGGGGAUAACUACUGGAAACGGUAGCUAAUACCGCAUAACGUCGCAAGACCAAAGAGGGGGACCUUCGGGCCUCUUGCCAUCGGAUGUGCCCAGAUGGGAUUAGCUAGUAGGUGGGGUAACGGCUCACCUAGGCGACGAUCCCUAGCUGGUCUGAGAGAAUGACCAGCCACACUGGAACUGAGACACGGUCCAG